AUUCAUUGAUUUGGAUAUUUUUUCUUCAGCUCCUUGAAUCUGUUUCAUGCCUCAUGGUAACUAUCCCCAUUUCUCUGUUGGAAAGUUUGAAUUUCCAAUCGAAU
rnacentral:snoRNA from 1 species